CAGUCGCCACGGGAAUACGGAAGGUCCGGGCGUUAUCCGGAUUUAUUGGGUUUAAAGGGAGCGUAGGCCGGGGAUUAGGUGUGUUGCGAAAUGUAGGCGCCCAACGUCUGACUUGCAGCGCAUACUGGUUCCCUUGAGUACGCGCAACGCCGGCGGAAUUCGUCGUGUAGCGGUGAAAUGCUUAGAUACGACGAAGAACCCCGAUUGCGAAGGCAGCCGGUGGGAGCGCAACUGACGCUGAAGCUCGAAGGUGCGGGUAUCGAACAGGAUUAGAUACCCCCGUAGUCCCUGUCUAUUAUAC
rnacentral:rRNA from 1 species